rnacentral:rRNA from 1 species
CUUGGCUCUCGCAUCGAUGAAGAACGCAGCGAAAUGCGAUAAGUAAUGUGAAUUGCAGAAUUCAGUGAAUCAUCGAAUCUUUGAACGCACCUUGCGCUUCUUGGUAUUCCGAGGAGCAUGCCUGUUUGAGUGUCAUUAAAUUCUCAAUCCCUUCCAGUAUUCUGGUUGUGGCUUGGAUAUUGGGGGUUUCUGCAGGCCUUAUUAUGUUGAGGUCAGCUCCCCUAAAAUACAU